CCAAAAUUCAAAGGAAGGACCAUGUAGGAUUGGAGCAAGGAAGCAUCCUACUAUCUUGAUAAAGGGGUUCCGAUACAGGCUUCCCGGGUUUCACAGUAAGUGGAACUGAAAGAUUCAUAAAAUACAAAAUUAAAAUUAAAAAUAAUAAACCAAAACAGAUUGAAUCAAAUGUGAAAUUCAGUCAUGUUUUACCAAUCAGACUAUUUAGUUAGCAUUUAACAUCAAAUAGAGUUUAAUAUGUAUUCAAACAUCAAUGAUUCUCUUUAGACUAUUUGCAAAAAGGAACACCUUUAGACAACCAACUAGAUUCCAAAAUAUACAUAAAAAAAACGAACAGAAUCCAUAAACAAAUUAAUGAUGCCAUCCACAGAAAAGAAGAAAGAUUGACAACAAACUCAAGCUUAACACAGUUUAGACAACCAAGCACAGACAAUGCAAAAAUAUACUCCCUCCACACCAAAAUAUUUUAUCUAUAUUAACUUUUUAAAAAUUAAUUUUUAAAUAUAGAAUUUAUAUGAUUCAUUUAAAUUUUAAAAAAAAAUUCAUAAUUAGUAAUACUUUUUAGAUAAUUAUAAUAUUCAUAAUUAUAUUAACAAAAUUAAAUGGACCCAUUCAAAUUUUGAAUUUCAAAAGGUUCAGACACACUUUUUAAAAAGUCAAUAGUGAAUUAGUGAUACUAUAAUUUGGAACAAGAGUCAUAAUUGAAACAAACACAAUUUGUUAAACUUAAACAUACACUGUAUCAAAAGUUUCUCUCGUAAAGUAGGCACGAAAAACAAAAAGAAUUAGAAAAAUUAGCUCCAAGAUGACAAGAUGAGAAGGCCUAGAGUUCUGAUACCGACAUGUAGAUGAAGAUCAGAGCAGCAGCUGUGUUAAGGAAUAACAGAAGAAGACUGAGCCGCCGCUGAAGGAGUCGUCGCCUCACCAGAAGGCCCGAGAUUCCAGCUAGGCAGUGGCUGCCCCCCUGGCCCUCCACUAGUUCAACCUGAACCGCCGCUGCUAUCAGGGUCAGAUGCCCGCCCUCGCCCUCGCCCUCGCCCUCGCCCUCUAUCCCCUAGUCCCUAGUUCCGCCUCUGUAUAUUAUACGUUCAUCGAUUGAUAGCCCUCGCCCUCUAUCCCCUAGUCCCUAAUUCCGCCUCUGUAUAUUAUAUAUUAUACGUUCAUCGAUUGAUUAUUAAUUAUGUGAAUAAAUUCGAAGAGAUACAAUAAAUGAGAUUAUUUAUAAUUUUUAUCAAUUAUACCUAUUGAUAAAAUU
rnacentral:lncRNA from 1 species